UCGUAAUAAUUUUGAGACGAAAUUAUAGAUCAUUAUUGAUAACGCUAAUCUUCUUCAUAUCUCUCGAUUUAAUAUCGUACUGGUGUUUUGAAGAUAUAGAAUACUGCAGUUAAUGUUUAAAAGAACUGUAAGUAGAGUGUUAAAUGGCUGUUCUAUGUUUCUUUUUAUCCGAUAAAGAUAGUAUUAUGACAGUGAUAUUUAGAAACCAAAUGUCAAAUGAAAUUUAUCGUAUAAAUAUCGAAAAUCUAAUAGAAAAUUAAUCAUACAGUAUUAAUAAUUGGUUACGUUGCUUUAUUGGCAAAAACCGGUAGAGAUAACGUUAAAAGAUAUAGAUAAGCUUUUACGAUAUUAUAUUUAUGGUCACUUUGCUAUAAUUGUCACUAAUGUCAUGAUCCGUAAUCAGGUGUAAAUUAAAGUGAGAUUCCUAGCCAGUGACAUUUAAUGCUUGGACGUUAACUCGUCGACAUACGUUAUAAACAUUCUUAAAAUAUAUUUGCAUUAAACAUUAAGUUAUGUAAAACAUUUAUUAUUGUUAAUUAUAUUACACGUAACCUUCUUUUUUAUUUUUGAAAUA
rnacentral:misc_RNA from 1 species